ACAUACGAUCAUAGGAUACGAAGAACUGGCAAACCCGUCCGCUCUUGCAUACAUAACUCGUAUACCGGCGGAUUAGUAGUCGCGUGGGAGACCAGCGGCGAAUUCCUGCUGUUGUAUGUU
rfam:Clohesyomyces aquaticus strain CBS 115471 BCR34scaffold_46, whole genome shotgun sequence.